AAGUCGUAACAAGGUUUCCGUAGGUGAACCUGCGGAAGGAUCAUUGACAAAAUCUAUUAUAUAUAAAUCUUUGUGAAUUGAAAGUGUUAAAAAGCUUUCCAUUAUAAACAUAAUUUUAAAGCCUGAUUUCUUUGAAAAAAGUAAAAUUUAAAAACAACUUUUAACAAUGGAUCUCUUGGCUCUU
rnacentral:misc_RNA from 1 species